rnacentral:rRNA from 1 species
GACGAACGCUGGCGGCGUGCCUAAUACAUGCAAGUAGAACGCAGUUGCGAACGGGUGAGUAACGCGUAGGUAACUGCCUCAUAGCGGGGGAUCACUCUUGGAAACGAUAGCUAAUACCGCAUACUGUGAGAUGGAACUGCGUUGUAUUAGCUAGUUGUUUAGGUAAAGGCUCACCAAGGCGACGAUACAUAGCCGACCUGAGAGGGUUAUCGGCCAUCCUGGGAGGGAGACACGGCCCAGACUCCUACGGGAGGCAGCAGUAGGGAAUCGUCGGCAAUGGACGGAAGUCUGACUGAGCAACGCCUCGUGAGUGAAGAAGGUUUUCGGAUCGUAAAGCUCUGAUGUUAGGGAAGCGGUAACUAACUAGAAAGGGACGGCUAACUACGUGCCAGCAGCCGCGGUAAUUC